rnacentral:rRNA from 1 species
GGAUUAAUUUACUGGUCGUGCUAUUGUACGUACUGGUUUUAUUGAUUCCUCCCUUCUGACGAACUAUGAUGCCAUUAAUUUGGUGUCUUAGGGAAUCAGGACUGUUACUUUGAAAAAAUUAGAGUGUUUAAAGCAAGUGAAUAACAGCCUGAAUACAUUAGCAUGGAAUAAUAGAAUAGG